UGGAAUCAUCUUUAUUGCUACAUUUUUCCCUCUUCUGUCCAGAGUCUGAGAGCAGAUCCCCAGAAACGUUUGGUCCGUAGGUGACCCUUGAACAACUCUCUGAACUAAUUGACUCUUCUAACUAACUGAACUGACUCUUCUAAAAUUUCUGAACUUUUUAUUCCUGUUUUUACCUAUCAGUAAUGUGGGCGAGAAAUCUCUUAUCAAUAGCGGGCGUAUUCAUUCGGGAAUUUUGGAAUGUCCCCCAUUGGUUUAGCUUUGUUCUUCCGAACUCCGUAUUGACACUAAAUUGUGAUAAAGUUGUUAUUUUCUCCGUCGUAGUGGAUUUUCUCUUGUUAUCAGUAAGAAACAACAAGAUUGCCGCCGUGCUACGUGCGGGUUUGCACCUUUUCGAACAACUGAACUUCAUGUUUUCUUGACCUUCUUAACAACUCUUCCCCUUGUUUACUUGA
rnacentral:lncRNA from 1 species